CAUGAACUGGGUCUCCAAAGGAAUAUCAUUUCCACAUGUCCCCAUUCUCUGAGUCAUCCACCAUAGCUUGAAACGGAAUAAACACAUGAACCGAGUAUCCUCUAAGACCCCAACAGGGAAGAGAUGGAAGCAUUUGGUCUCUGAAGCAGUUGCUCCAAUAAAUGCACCAGUAACAAGUCCCACACCAGAUCCAGGUGUUAAGAUAAUGUUGUCAGGUACACUCUUGAGUAUGGUGUUGCCAUGGACAAUGAGGUUGCCAUCAUUUAUGGAGAUGUUAGGUGUCACUGUCAUCUGAAACUCCUUUGAGG
rnacentral:misc_RNA from 1 species